GGGGUUGUGGCUCAGUGGUAGAGUGCAUGCCUAGCAUGUGUGAGGCAUUGGGUUCAAUUUUCAGUACCACA
rnacentral:tRNA from 1 species